rnacentral:lncRNA from 1 species
GGUCACAUUAGGUACAACCCUUCCUCACAUUGUGGGGGAAAUAUCUUCUUGUGGGACCCCCCCCAAGUUUCUAGAAUACCUGGUGUCCUGGGCUUUUUUACUUGAUAGAGAAAAUCACUGCAGAAAGAUGAAGGUUGGGUGAGAACUGGCUAACCAGCAAACCAAUUCAAGGCAAAGAGGUGAAUUAACGAAGUUAAGGAUCUGGAAUCAGAUCCCAUGAAGCUAUUCAGGCCAUAAACUUCCAUUAAAGCCUUGUGUCCCCCACUAAAGAUACUCACACCCAGAUCAGUCUAAAUUGCUUCCUGAUGAGUUCCUCACAAAACUCCUUAUCCUGUUCUUAGAACACCAGUUUACGCCAACAUGCCAGGUUGAAUUAACCUAAUACAGAUGCUUUAACUCCUCUCCCCCAUAGCUAUGCAAAUCGGGGAGGUCAAAGACAGAAAUGUAAGAGAAACACAGGAGUUGAGGUUUAACUUACAUAACCACCCCGGCCUCCAUGAAAAAGACUAUGUGACACUCCAGAGUUCAAUAUGUGGUGAAGUUACAGUUCCUGUAACAUACACAACCCCCAUUAUAUCUGGCAACACACACUCAACAUGCCAUAUUAAGUAUAGUCUCCAUUUUAUUGUCUUUUUAAAGGAUAGAAUUCCUUCAGUCUCUAAGAACUCAGUUCCUUACACAAUGUUCCGAAUAACGAACUUCUUAAUGGCCUUAUCCUUGGGCACGCAUCGGGCACAGUUGGUGCAGCGAAUAGGCUGCACGUGGCCGCGGCCCUUUUUGGCACGGCCAUUAUUCCUUCUUUUCUUGGUCUGCAUCAGGAUGAAAACACCAUUAAGAAGGGCUCGCAACUUACCCAGCCUUAGACCCCUUCCGGCCACAUUUCCCGCCGGCAACCACCAGAAGAGCCACUCAGAUCUCCAGUCCCUCCGCAAACCCCCCCAAGCCUGGAACAAACAUAUGCUCUUUCCAUUCCUUCACCGUAGUCCAGGUUUUAAAACCCCCACAAUCUCAUCUGGCUCACACUCAGCCUUCACCCGGCCCCAAUCGUUCACCACGCGCCAUAACUCACCAUCUUGGAAGCGAAGACGCGAGA